AGCACAGCGACCCGAACACUUUCCUUAAUUUGAAAAUCAUCACAUAACUUCUUCCGCUCGUCCGAAGAGACCGAUCCAUCAAUCCGAAUAUUUUUCUUCAAUGCACCGACUAAUGUCAUUUAAUAAGCAUUGAUGAUGAGCAAAACAGAGGAAUUUCUUGCCAUUCUCCAAUAAGUCUGCAAUAUAGUCGCUGGAAAAGACAGAUGGGAAAGACAGGAAAAUAAAAUAGUAGGAUAGUAGAGCACCCCGUUUUUCCAUUGGUUUUGAAUGUUCCUUUGUCAUGGUUUUAGCCAACGUAUCCAUUGAGGGCGAAUGACAUUUGACAGCAUUAGGAUCAAGGACAACCAUUUGCCUAAAAUGAAAAAUUGAUAAUUAACUCAUCAUUUCAUCAUUGUUGCUAUUUAUUACCUUUGUU